rnacentral:rRNA from 1 species
AACGAACGCUGGCGGCAGGCUUAACACAUGCAAGUCGAACGCGUGUAGCAAUACACGAGUGGCGCACGGGUGAGUAACACGUGGAUAUCUGCCUUUUGGUUCGGGAUAACCCUGGGAAACUAGGGCUAAUACCGGAUGGUUCCUACGGGAUAAAGAUUUAUCGCCAAAAGAUGAGUCCGCGUCCGAUUAGCUAGUUGGUGAGGUAAUGGCUCACCAAGGCGACGAUCGGUAGCUGGUCUGAGAGGACGAUCAGCCACACUGGGACUGAGACACCGCCCAGACUCCUACGGGAGGCAGCAGUGGGGAAUAUUGGACAAUGGGGGCAACCCUGAUCCAGCCAUGCCGCGUGAGUGAUGAAGGCCUUCGGGUUGUAAAGCUCUUUUGGCGGGGACGAUGAUGACGGUACCCGCAGAAUAAGCCCCGGCUAACUACGUGCCAGCCGCCGCGGUAACAC